AGAGUUUGAUCCUGGCUCAGAACGAACGCUGGCGGCAGGCCUAACACAUGCAAGUCGAACGCACUCUUCGGAGUGAGUGGCAGACGGGUGAGUAACGCGUGGGAAUAUGCCCUUUAGUGGGGGAUAACUCGGGGAAACCCGAGCUAAUACCGCAUAAUCUCUAUGGAGUAAAGCAGGUCGCCAUUGGAUUGGCCCGCGUUAGAUUAGCUUGUUGGUGAGGUAAUGGCUCACCAAGGCUACGAUCUAUAGCUGGUCUGAGAGGAUGAUCAGCCACACUGGGACUGAGACACGGCCCAGACUCCUACGGGAGGCAGCAGUGGGGAAUAUUGGACAAUGGGCGCAAGCCUGAUCCAGCCAUGCCGCGUGAGUGAAGAAGGCCUUAGGGUUGUAAAACUCUUUCACCGGUGAAGAUAAUGACGGUAGCCGGAGAAGAAGCCCCGGCUAACUCCGUGCCAGCAGCCGCGGUAAUACGGAGGGGGCUAGCGUUGUUCGGAAUUACUGGGCGUAAAGCGCGCGUAGGCGGUUUGAUAAGUUGGGGGUGAAAUCCCAGGGCUCAACCCUGGAACUGCCUUCAAAACUGUCUCUCUUGAGGCCGGAAGAGGUGAGUGGAAUUCCUAGUGUAGAGGUGGAAUUCGUAGAUAUUAGGAAGAACACCAGUGGCGAAGGCGGCUCACUGGUCCGGUACUGACGCUGAGGUGCGAAAGUGUGGGGAGCAAACAGGAUUAGAUACCCUGGUAGUCCACACCGUAAACGAUGGAUGCUAGUUGUCGGGCGGCUUGCCGUUCGGUGACGCAGUUAACGCAUUAAGCAUCCCGCCUGGGGAGUACGAUCGCAAGAUUGAAACUCAAAGGAAUUGACGGGGGCCCGCACAAGCGGUGGAGCAUGUGGUUUAAUUCGACGCAACGCGAAGAACCUUACCUGGGCUUGAAAUCCCGAUCGUGAUUAGUGGAGACACUUUUCUUCAGUUCGGGUCGUUCCUGUAGAGGUGCUGCAUGGCUGUCGUCAGCUCGUGUCGUGAGAUGUUGGGUUAAGUCCCGCAACGAGCGCAACCCUCGCCAUUAGUUGCCAGCAUUAAGUUGGGCACUCUAAUGGGACUGCCGGUGUUAAGCCGGAGGAAGGUGGGGAUGACGUCAAGUCCUCAUGGCCCUUAUGGGCUGGGCUACACACGUGCUACAAUGGCAGUGACAAUGGGUCGCAACCUCGCGAGAGGACGCUAAUCUCAAAAAACUGUCUCAGUUCGGAUUGUUCUCUGCAACUCGAGAGCAUGAAGUUGGAAUCGCUAGUAAUCGUAGAUCAGCACGCUACGGUGAAUACGUUCCCGGGCCUUGUACACACCGCCCGUCACACCAUGGGAGUUGGUUUUACCUGACGCCGGUGUGCUAACCUUAGGGAGGCAGCCGACCACGGUAGGGUCAGCGACUGGGGUGAAGUCGUAACAAGGUAACCC
rnacentral:rRNA from 1 species